rfam:Xenorhabdus szentirmaii DSM 16338, WGS project CBXF01000000 data, contig: XENSZ_2115_Contig_29
GGGUCGUUAGCUCAGUCGGUAGAGCAGUUGACUUUUAAUCAAUUGGUCGCAGGUUCGAAUCCUGCACGACCCA